AGUGAAUUUCAGGACAGGCUCCAA
rnacentral:piRNA from 1 species